rnacentral:rRNA from 1 species
UACGUAGGGGGCAAGCGUUGUCCGGAUUCAUUGGGCGUAAAGAGCGUGUAGGCGGCCAGGUAGGUCGGUUGUGAAAACUGGAGGCUCAACCUUCAGAGGUCGACCGAAACCAUCUGGCUAGAGUCCGGGAGAGGAGAGUGGAAUUCCAGGUGUAGCGGUGAAAUGCGUAGAUAUCAGGAGGAACACCGGUGGCGAAGGCGGGUCUCUGGGCCGAUACUGACACUGAGGAGCGAAAGCGUGGGGAGCGAACAGG